rnacentral:rRNA from 1 species
AGGGCAUACGGUGGAUGCCUAGGCGCCAGGAGCCGAAGAAGGACGCGGUAAGCUGCGAAAAGCCACGGGGAACUGCAAGCGAGUAUUGAUCCGUGGAUAUCCGAAUGGGGAAACCCGGCCAUCGUAAUGGAUGGUCAUCCGCAAGGAAGGGAACCCGGGGAACUGAAACAUCUAAGUACCCGGAGGAAAAGAAAUCAAACGAGAUGCCCACAGUAGCGGCGAGCGAAGAGGGCAGAGCCCAAACCUGUAAGCUACGGCUUAUGGGGGUUGAGGACUGACGGAAUUAAGGCCAGGCUUAGCUGAACUACCUGGGAAGGUAGGCUAUAUAAGGUAAGAGCCCUGUAAGCGAAAGGCAGAGCCUUAAGGUCAGUAUCCAGAGUACCACGGAGCACGAGGAAUUCUGUGGGAAGCAGGGGGGACCACCCUCCAAGGCUAAAGACUAACUGGCGACCGAUAGCGCAUAGUACCGUGAGGGAAAGGUGAAAAGAACCCCGGGAGGGGAGUGAAAUAGUACCUGAAACCGUAUGUCUACAAGCAGUCGGAGCGAAAGCGACGGCGUGCCUAUUGAAGAAUGAACCAACGAGUUAUCUGCACUAGCGAGGUUAAGUGGAAGACACGGAGCCGUAGCGAAAGCGAGUCUGAAAAGGGCGAUGAGUUAGUGUAGGUAGACCCGAAACCGCAGUGAUCUACCCAUGUCCAGGUUGAAGCGCAGGUAAAAAUGCGUGGAGGACCGAACCGGUGAGCGUUGAAAAGCUUUCGGAUGAGAUGUGGGUAGGGGUGAAAUUCCAAUCGAACGCGGAGAUAGCUGGUUCUCCCCGAAAUAGCUUUAGGGCUAGCCUCAGGUAGUAAGUAUAGGCGGUAGAGCACUGAUCGGGCUAGGGGCCAUAAAGGUUACCGAACCCUGUCAAACUCCGAAUGGAUAUACUGCAGAGCCUGGGAGUCAGACUACGAGUGAUAAGAUCCGUGGUCAAAAGGGAAACAGCCCAGACCACCGGCUAAGGUCCCAAAUGCCGUACUAAGUGGAAAAGGAUGUGGGGAUUCAUAAACAACCAGGAUGUUGGCUCAGAAGCAGCCACCAUUUAAAGAGUGCGUAAUAGCUCACUGGUCGAGAGUCCCUGCGCCGAAAAUUUCCGGGGCUAAAGUACGGAACCGAAGCUGUGGCUGUGUACGUAAGUACACGGGGUAGGGGAGCGUUGCCACAGGGGUGAAGCUGGUCUGGAAGGACUGGUGGACUUGUGGGAAGUGAGAAUGUUGGUAUGAGUAGCGAAAAGAAAGGUGAGAAUCCUUUCCACCGAAAGCAUAAGGAUUCCUGAGCAACGAUCGUCGUCUCAGGGUAAGUCGGGACCUAAUCCGAGGCAAAGAGCGUAGGAGAUGGACAACAGGUUGAUAUUCCUGUACCGGCAGUAAUUGUUUGAGCGAAGGAGUGACACAGAAGGGCAGGCAGGCGCGAGACUGGAUUGUCGCGUGCAAGCGUGUAGGGUAGUGUACAGGCAAAUCCGUACACUGAAAGCCUGAGGCGUUACGCGGAGCGAGCAGAGAUGCGAGCGAAGCUGCUGAUCCCACACUGUCGAGAAAAGCUUCUAGUGAGAGAGCUGCCGCCCGUACCGUAAACCGACACAGGUAUGCGGGGAGAGAAUCCUAAGGUGCGCGGGAGAACCCUCGUUAAGGAACUCGGCAAAAUGUACCCGUAACUUCGGGAUAAGGGUAGCCGUCUUGGUGAAGGAACUAGCUUCUGGAGCUGAAGGCGGUCGCAGAGAAGAGGCCCAAGCGACUGUUUACCACAAACACAGGUGCCUGCUAAAGCGAAAGCUGACGUAUAGGUGCUGACACCUGCCCAGUGCUGGAAGGUUAAGGAAGGAUGUCCGGGCAACCAAAGCAUUCGACCGAAGCCCCAGUGAACGGCGGCCGUAACUAUAACGGUCCUAAGGUAGCGAAAUUCCUUGUCGGGUAAGUUCCGACCCGCACGAAAGGUGUAACGAUUUGGGCACUGUCUCAACGAGGGACCCGGUGAAAUUGAAAUACCUGUGAAGAUGCAGGUUACCCGCGACUGGACAGAAAGACCCCAUGGAGCUUUACUGUAACCUGACAUUGGGUUUUGUUGUAUUACGUACAGGAUAGGUGGGAGGCUUGGAAGGCUGGACGCUAGUCUGGCUGGAGCCGUCGUUGGGAUACCACCCUUGAUACAACGGAAUUCUAACCGAGAGAGUAACGAAAUCCGGGACAGUGUCAGGCGGGCAGUUUGACUGGGGCGGUCGCCUCCGA